rnacentral:rRNA from 1 species
UACAGAGGGUGCGAGCGUUAAUCGGAAUUACUGGGCGUAAAGCGUGCGUAGACGGUUAUUUAAGUCGGGUGUGAAAGCCCCGGGCUCAACCUGGGGAUUGCAUUCGAGACUGAAUAGCUAGGGUACGGUAGAGGGAAGUGGAAUUUCCGGUGUAGCGGUGAAAUGCGUAGAUAUCGGAAGGAACAUCAGUGGCGAAAGCGACUUCCUGGACCAGUACCGACGUUCCGGCACGAAAGCGUGGGGAGCAAACAGG